rnacentral:rRNA from 1 species
GACGAACGCUGGCGGCGUGCUUAACACAUGCAAGUCGAACGGAAAGGCCCUGCUUUUGUGGGGUGCUCGAGUGGCGAACGGGUGAGUAACACGUGAGUAACCUGCCCUUGACUUUGGGAUAACUUCAGGAAACUGGGGCUAAUACCGGAUAGGAGCUCCUGCUGCAUGGUGGGGGUUGGAAAGUUUCGGCGGUUGGGGAUGGACUCGCGGCUUAUGAGCUUGUUGGUGGGGUAGUGGCUUACCAAGGCUUUGACGGGUAGCCGGCCUGAGAGGGUGACCGGCCACAUGGGGACUGAGAUACGGCCCAGACUCCUACGGGAGGCAGCAGUGGAGAAUAUUGCACAAUGGGCGGAAGCCUGAUGCAGAAACGCCGCGUGCGGGAUGACGGCCUACGGGUUGUAAACCGCUUUCGCCUGUGACGAAGCGUGAGUGACGGUAAUGGGUAAAGAAGCACCGGCUAACUACGUG